CUCGUGGCUAGUUCAGGCGGAAGGAGCAGUCCUCUGAAGCUUGAGGAGCCUCUAGAACUAUGAGCCCGAGGCCUUCCCCUUUCCCAGAGCGCAGAGGCUUUGAAGGCUACCUCUGGGAAGCCGCUCACCGUCGGAAGCUGCGGGAGCUGAAACUGCGCCAUCGUCACUGUCGGCGGCCAUGAUACCUCUCGUCUCCCGCCUGAGUCGUCAGCGGGCCAUCAUGAGGAAGCCACGAGCAGCCGUGGGAAGUGGUCACAGGAAGCAGGCAGCCAGCCAGGAAGGGAGGCAGAAGCGUGCUAAGAACAACAGUCAGGCCAAGCCUUCUGCCUGUGAUGGUCUGGCCAGGCAGCCGGAAGAGGUGGUAUUGCAGGCUUCUGUCUCCUCAUACCAUGUAUUCAGAGACUUAGCUGAAGUCACAGCCUUCCGAGGGAGCCUGCUAAGCUGGUACGACCAAGAGAAACGGGACCUACCAUGGAGAAGACGGGCAGAAGAUGAGGUGGACCUGGACAGGCGGGCAUAUGCUGUGUGGGUCUCAGAGGUCAUGCUGCAGCAGACCCAGGUUGCCACUGUGAUCAACUACUAUACCGGAUGGAUGAAGGUGACUCCAGGGGAGGAAGGGAAGGGUCAUGGGUCAGACCCCAGAUGAGAGCCUGUACUUUGGGGUGGGUGUAGAGAAGGCUUCCUCUACCACCUUCGCCCUUGACCUUGUCUUUUUCUGCCUGCCUGUGGCUAUAGAAGUGGCCUACACUGCAGGACCUGGCCAGUGCUUCCCUGGAGGUGAGAGCCACCCUAGGGUAGGGGAAAUAGGAAUGAUAGAGGGACUGAAGGGUGAUCUCUUUGACCUCUGAUCCUACCCACAGGAGGUGAAUCAACUCUGGGCUGGCCUGGGCUACUAUUCUCGUGGCCGGCGGCUGCAGGAGGGAGCUCGGAAG
rnacentral:sRNA from 1 species